rnacentral:lncRNA from 1 species
AAGGAAUGAGAAUGUCUUAUUGCUGUUCUCUCAGACAGUUUGCCACUGUUGUUCAGGCAGAAAUUUAUGCUAUUUCUAUGUGUGUCAAGAUUAACCUUAUAAGGAAUAUGUUAAUAAACUUAUUUAUUUCAUAUCAAAUAUUCAAGCUGAAUUAAAAGCAUUUAAGAGCUCCACUUUCUUCAGAACUUGCUUGAAAAUGUUAUCAUUUCAUUGUGGAACUAUAUCUCGAACAAGUUUUAACUUGUUUGGAUGUCAGGUCACUAAAGAAAUUGAGGGCAAAAAUCGACUGAUUAAGGUAAAGUCUUCUUGUCUUUUCAUUGGACCUGAGUGUAUUCUAGGCAUCAAAUCUGAUCCAUUUGAGAGCAGAUUGUCAGAAAAUGGUUGGCAGUACAAUAGUUCUGUUGAAAAUCAAUGUUGGGCUAACAAGGGAACAUUGCACCUGAUGUGUCUGGGAUUUUGCUGAUGUUUUGUCGUCUGAAGGAG